rnacentral:lncRNA from 1 species
GGGAAGGGUAUAGUAGCUAAGGUGUAGGUUAAGCUGUUCUAACAAAGAGACCCCAAAGUACAGUGACCUAGAUAAAACCACGCUAACAUUUUGGGAAAAAACACUGGGAACUUCUGGUCCUGUUGCCUGUGUUAACUAGGCCAAGAGGCCCAUGCCAGGGAGAUUCUGCUGGAUUUCAAGCUGCCUCAGGAGCCCUCAGGAGCUGCCCUCAGGCACCAUUAAUUAAACCCGCUGAAUCUUUGGGGUGGGGCCUUCAGCCUGCGUGAGGCCUGAGGAGGAUGUUCCUGCCACAGAAGGCAACCAAGUCUUAUGGCAGGCACCGCUGUCACGCUCAGAAUUCUCAGACUUGGUCUCAGGAUAGGCUGCUGUCUCUAUGGGACGGCUGUGGACUCUUCAGAAUGGUCAGCAUGGCUUCAUUCAAAUAACAUACUUAUUACUUAUGUGUAUUGAGUGUUUAAUAUAAAGGAAGUGCUUUGCAAAUUAGCUCAUUGGAUCUGUCAACAUUUGUAAGAGGUUGUUAAACCAUUUCACAAAGGAGAAAG